rnacentral:rRNA from 1 species
UACGAAGGGGGCGAGCGUUGUUCGGAUUUACUGGGCGUAAAGGGCGCGCAGGCGGUUCUGUUUGUCGAGUGUGAAAGCCCCGGGCUCAACCUGGGAACUGCGCUCGAAACGGCGGAACUAGAGUUCGGGAGAGGAGAGUGGAAUUCCCAGUGUAGAGGUGAAAUUCGUAGAUAUUGGGAAGAACACCUGUGGCGAAAGCGGCGCACUGGACCAUAACUGACGCUGAUGCGCGAAAGCUAGGGGAGCAAACAGG